AGAGCGAACGCUGGCGGCAGGCCUAACACAUGCAAGUCGAACGGACCCUUCGGGGUUAGUGGCGGACGGGUGAGUAACACGUGGGAACGUGCCUUUAGGUUCGGAAUAGCUCCUGGAAACGGGUGGUAAUGCCGAAUGUGCCCUUCGGGGGAAAGAUUUAUCGCCUUUAGAGCGGCCCGCGUCUGAUUAGCUUGUUGGUGAGGUAAUGGCUCACCAAGGCUACGAUCAGUAGCUGGUCUGAGAGGAUGACCAGCCACAUUGGGACUGAGACACGGCCCAAACUCCUACGGGAGGCAGCAGUGGGGAAUCGUUGCGCGGAUGGGGCGAAACGGCCUGGACGCAGCCAUCGCCGCGUGUAUGAUAGGAAGGUCUUAGGUAUUAGUAAAUUACUUCGACCGGUAGAAGAUAAUGAUGAGCCGAGAAGAAGCCCCGAUAACUCG
rnacentral:rRNA from 1 species